UUGGAGAUCUACGAAGAAGAAGAAGACGGAUCCUCAAAACAGAAGACAAAAAUGUGUUCUACUACUCAUCAUGAUCAUCAAUCACAACAACAAAAACCAACUUGUCUCCACUGCGACCCACACUCAUACAUUCGCAUGGUUCAACAUAUGAUAGAGAGGUGUAUCAUAACUCCGUAUGAGUCGUGACGGAUGCGUUGAGGCGUUAGACCACCACGCAAGCAUUCUACCACUCGUUACGCUCACCGUUUGGAGAGGACUUGAAGAGGGAAAUAAGGAUUUCUUUAAAACGUACGAAGCAGUCCUUCUCCCCUGAGCCGUUCUCAAGUAAGAUUUUUCUGGGAUCAUCAUAUGUGUGUGUGUUUCAACUGUGAAGACAUUUCAAUUUAAUGUCUCAGCCAACAUAUCGACCAAAUCUCAAGUCAAAACGUUGUUUAAACGAUUUUUACUAAGAGUUUUUUUUUGGGCUUUCUUGUUUGUUUUGGAAUCAAAUAUUAUCAGGCGGGGAUACAUGUUCGGAGAUC